UACAGAGGUCUCAAGCGUUGUUCGGAUUCAUUGGGCGUAAAGGGUGCGUAGGCGGCGCGGUAAGUCGGGUGUGAAAUCUCGGAGCUUAACUCCGAAACUGCAUUCGAUACUGCCGUGCUUGAGUACCGGAGAGGAUGGCGGAAUUCCCGAAGUAGAGGUGAAAUUCGUAGAUAUCGGGAGGAACACCGGUGGCGAAGGCGGCCAUCUGGACGGAUACUGACGCUGAGACGCGAAAGCGUGGGUAGCAAACAGG
rnacentral:rRNA from 1 species